UAGGGAAUCUUCGGCAAUGGGGGGAACCCUGACCGAGCAACGCCGCGUGAGUGAAGAAGGUUUUCGGAUCGUAAAGCUCUGUUGUUAAGGAAGAACGAGUGUGAGAAUGGAAAGUUCAUACUGUGACGGUACUUAACCAGAAAGGGACGGCUAACUACGUGCCAGCAGCCGCGGUAAUACGUAGGUCCCGAGCGUUGUCCGGAUUUAUUGGGCGUAAAGCGAGCGCAGGCGGUUAGAAAAGUCUGAAGUGAAAGGCAGUGGCUCAACCAUUGUAGGCUUUGGAAACUGUUUAACUUGAGUGCAGAAGGGGAGAGUGGAAUUCCAUGUGUAGCGGUGAAAUGCGUAGAUAUAUGGAGGAACACCGGUGGCGAAAGCGGCUCUCUGGUCUGUAACUGUCGCUGAGGCUCGAAAGCGUGGGGAGCGAACAGGAUUAGAUACCCUGGUAGUCCACGCCGUAAACGAUGAGUGCUAGGUGUUAGGUCCUUUCCGGGACUUAGUGCCGCAGCUAACGCAUUAAGCACUCCGCCUGGGGAGUACGACCGCAAGGUUG
rnacentral:rRNA from 1 species